GUGCCAGCCGCCGCGGUAAUACGUAGGUGGCAAGCGUUAUCCGGAAUUAUUGGGCGUAAAGCGCGCGCAGGUGGUUUCUUAAGUCUGAUGUGAAAGCCCACGGCUCAACCGUGGAGGGUCAUUGGAAACUGGGAGACUUGAGUGCAGAAGAGGAAAGUGGAAUUCCAUGUGUAGCGGUGAAAUGCGUAGAGAUAUGGAGGAACACCAGUGGCGAAGGCGACUUUCUGGUCUGUAACUGACACUGAGGCGCGAAAGCGUGGGGAGCAAACAGGAUUAGAAACCCUUGUAGUCC
rnacentral:rRNA from 1 species